AGAGGGUUAGGCUAAAUUAGACCGAGAGCCUUCAAAGCUCUAAGCAAGUAAACAAUACUUACCCUCUGA
ensembl:Mt_tRNA